rnacentral:rRNA from 1 species
AUUGAACGCUGGCGGCAUGCUUUACACAUGCAAGUCGUACGGUAACAGGCCUUCGGGUGCUGGCGAGUGGCGAACGGGUGAGUAAUGCAUCGGAACGUACCCAGAGGUGGGGGAUAACGCAGCGAAAGCUGUGCUAAUACCGCAUGUGAUCUGAGGAUGAAAGCGGGGGACCGAGCAGCAAUGUUUGGCCUCGCGCCUUUGGAGCGGCCGAUGUCGGAUUAGCUAGUUGGUGGGGUAAAGGCCUACCAAGGCGACGAUCCGUAGCUGGUCUGAGAGGACGACCAGCCACACUGGGACUGAGACACGGCCCAGACUCCUACGGGAGGCAGCAGUGGGGAAUUUUGGACAACGGGCGCAAGCCUGAUCCAGCAAUGCCGCGUGCGGGAAGACGGCCUUCGGGUUGUAAACCGCUUUUGGCAGGAACGAAACGGUGUCCGCUAAUACCGGGCGCUAAUGACGGUACCUGCAGAAUAAGCACCGGCUAACUACGUG